rnacentral:tRNA from 1 species
GGGGGUAUAGCUCAAAGUGGUAGAGCACACGCUUAGCAUUUAUGAGGUCCUAGGUUCAAUCCCCGGUACCUCCU